rnacentral:rRNA from 1 species
CCUACGGGAGGCUGCAGUGGGGAAUAUUGCACAAUGGGCGAAAGCCUGAUGCAGCGACGCCGCGUGAGGGAUGACUGCCUUCGGGUUGUAAACCUCUUUCAGGAACCGAACGGUACCUGCAGAAGAAGCACCGGCCAACUACGUGCCAGCAGCCGCGGUAAUACGUAGGGUGCAAGCGUUGUCCGGAAUUAUUGGGCGUAAAGAGCUCGUAGGCGGUUUGUCACGUCGGCUGUGAAAACCUGGGGCUCAACCCCGGGCCUGCAUCCGAUACUGGCAGACUAGAAUGCGGUAGGGGGGGCUGGAAUUCCUGGUGUAGCGGUGAAAUGCGCAGAUAUCAGGAGGAACACCGGUGGCGAAGGCGGGUCUCUGGGCGAAUUGACGCUGAGGAGCGAAAGCGUGGGGAGCGAACAGGAUUAGAUACCCAGGUAGUC